GGUCAGUGUGAUCCCCACAGACACAGCAAAUUCUGCCAGAUCAGUGCUUUCGGGACGUGGGCACCAGACGCCCACGUGUGGCUGAGCUGUGGUCCACAGAAGGAAGAGGUAAGGAAAUCAGUUCGAGCUCAUCUUUUGAGAGUAGCAGGGAUACCGCACACAGGGCAACGGAGCCAACCAGGAGCCGAGUGAAGGAAACCCUUCCCGGAGCGGGGGAGCAAUGUUAUCAGCUUGCCAUGCUCUGACACCAGACUUGGCCUUUGCUUCCGUUGCAAUGGGUACAACCAAGAAGCCGUGACCAGGGAGGCAGGAAUUUGCUCGUGGGGACCAAGCGGAAGGCCCCAGCCAAUGGCCUCGGCAACCUUCUUCUCGCUUGCUGAGUGCAUGCGCACGCACGCACGCACGUCACCUCAUCACAAGUCAGCCGAGAAGGCAGAAUUCCAACGACCAUGAAACACCCCAGUCGGCACACGGCAGAUGCAAGCCUGAUUCCCCCCACAUUAAGCAAGUGUAACCUUUAACAAAGCAUAAACCACGGAAGA